UUUUGCCUUCCACCAUGAUUGUGAGGCCUCCCCAGCCACGUGGAACUGCCUAGUACUCAAACAAAUUGUGAUCAUGUGGACUCAUUGUUCAAGCAACACUCCUUUCUUCAGCAGAUGGCACUGUGACCCCAAAAUCUGGCAUGUUAUUUUUCUCUCUGCAACUCCUGAAGAAUUGGCUACACGCUGCAAAGCAAGAUGACACAAACCCAGGAAACCAUUGUCUUUGGGCCAAAAUAGAAUCAUCUUUUGCUAGUUUGAAUUCUUAACCAAAUUUUUACCUGGCUAAAAGUAUAGCAUUUUUAAAAGCCCUUCAAUGUAUACAAUGUUUUCAGACGUUUAUAAAACAGACCAUUAGUUAACUAACCCUAUAAAGGAGGUAGUAUUAUUAUUACACACAGAUGGUAUAACUGAGGCAAAAGCAGGGGACAUAAUUUGCUCGAGGACACAGAGCUAGAAACAGUGGAGCUAGAGUUGAAACUAGCACCUCUUGCAUUCCAUGCUCUUAACCUUAUAUUACAUUGCAGCGGAAAUGGAAAGAAAGGGAAGGGUGGGACAGAGAUUGCAACGAAGGAAUGAAAAUAACUUGGGAACUCCUAAGUUAUGAGUUAUUCCCAAGGUACAGAGAAUAAAGAAUAACCCAAGAAUUUUACUUCUUGUGAAAAGAACAAAUUACAGAAGCUAUUUUUGACAAUAGUGGGGUUUUUUUUAGCUUAUCCUUAAAGUAAACAAAAGUUUAGAGUUAACCAUAACAUAGGUAUACUAUUAUUUUUUAAGUUGUUCCUGCAUCCAAUGGUGACAUAAACACAUUGGCACCAAUGACAGAGUGAGAUUGCAUUUCCAGGUAAAGAUGCUACCUCGAGGCAAAUUGAAUGCUCAAAUCUUUCUACAGGUUUUUACCUGUCAUAUCUACAGUUUUCUAGGAUGCCACACCAUGUACUCCAGAAUAAGUCUUUCUGCUUCAUUGGCUCCAGGUUUUGUCACGGUGUCCUUCACCACCUCUGCCACUUUGCCAAAAACUUCCUAUAAGACCUCAGAGACAAGGCUUGGCUAAUGGGAGAAUUAAAGGGAAGUUCAACCAGAGAGUAACUUACAGAUACUGAGCAAGCUUAGGCUUGACCUCAAGCCAUGGAAGAGGCAUGUUUCCUGAUUGUCUCAUGAUUUUCCACCUUAGCAAUAGGAAACUCCACCUCUAGUCCCGGAAGCUGUUCCAGGGUCUUUGUGCCAAACUGACUUCCAAAAUCCAUUGAGUCUUCACUUAUUAUCUGGAGAUUGGUCUAUUCCUAAAAUGAUUAACCGUGGGAAUGUGUAGGGUUUACGGUUUGGAUCUGAGACCAUAGGUCAAUCACACUUUAAUUCAUAUCAAUCAUUUUCUCAAAGUAUAGUUGUCCAAUUUUAAUA